UACAGAGGUCCCAAGCGUUGUUCGGAUUCAUUGGGCGUAAAGGGUGCGUAGGUGGCGCGCUAAGUCGGGUGUGAAAUUCGGAGCUUAACUCCGAAACUGCAUUCGAUACUGGUGUGCUUGAGGACUGGAGAGGAGACUGGAAUUCAUGGUGUAGCAGUGAAAUGCGUAGAGAUCAUGAGGAAGACCAGUGGCGAAGGCGGGUCUCUGGACAGUUCCUGACACUGAGGCACGAAGGCCAGGGGAGCAAACGGG
rnacentral:rRNA from 1 species